GCCGUGGUCGAUCCUACCUCUCGCCGAUGUUGUUCCACCCAGGAUCGUCGCUGUAGGUACGGCGUCGCUGAUGGUGAUGAACGUCCGUUGAGUUCGGGUAAAACCCUGCCGUUUAGGAUACGCAGGAUCGAUGAUGUUGUUCCAUCCAGGAUCGUCGCUGUAGGUACGGCGUCGCUGAUGGUGAUGAACGUCCGUUGAGUUCGGGUAAAAACCCUGCCGUUUAGGAUACGCAGGAUCGAUGAUGUUGUUCCAUCCAGGAUCGUCGCUGCAGGUACGGCGUCGCUGAUGGUGAUGAACGUCCGUUGAGUUCGGGUA